rnacentral:rRNA from 1 species
AGGACGAACGCUGGCGGCGUGCUUAACACAUGCAAGUCGAGCGGUAAGGCCUUUCGGGGUACACGAGCGGCGAACGGGUGAGUAACACGUGGGUGAUCUGCCCUGCACUUCGGGAUAAGCCUGGGAAACUGGGUCUAAUACCGGAUAUGACCUCCUAUCGCAUGGUGGGUGGUGGAAAGAUUUAUCGGUGCAGGAUGGGCCCGCGGCCUAUCAGCUUGUUGGUGGGGUAAUGGCCUACCAAGGCGACGACGGGUAGCCGACCUGAGAGGGUGACCGGCCACACUGGGACUGAGACACGGCCCAGACUCCUACGGGAGGCAGCAGUGGGAAUUUGGACAAUGGGGGAACCCUGAUCCAGCCAUCCCGCGUGUGCGAUGAAGGCCUCGGUUGUAAAGCACUUUGGCAGGGAAGAAACGGCGUGCCCUAAUACGGACGUCACUGACGUACCUGCAGAAUAAGCACGCUAACUACGUGCCAGCAGCCGC